GCAAGGUGACUUUCUUCGAACCUCGCUUGACCAAGUCUCUUUAAUUCGGUGUUUGUAAGUACUAAAUCUCAGAAACACAAGAACCACUUAUUAGUCUUACAGAAGUUGGAGUAGAAUUUACGCUCGUAGGCAAAAUUUCAGCACAAUCAUCGGCAUAAAACGCCAAAUUUGUCAUGAUAAUUGAAUGUCAAUUCUUGGUUACAUGGUCCCAAAUCCAGAGGGGACUAAUUUGUAUUUAUUUGCGCCUUCGUUUGAGGGAAACUUAGUGGAAUUGUGGAAAGCUCUUAACUUGUCAACGGAAGAUGCUAUUUGUUUCUAUUUUAUUUUAUUUUUGAACAGAACGAAAAUAAAUUUCAGAUAAUAAGAUGAUAGUGCCAGAGUAUAGGAUAUUGUUUAUUGCAAACUAUAUUAAAUAUUUUUCUUUUUUAAGGAAAGUAAUAUAUGUAUAUUAUCUGGAAAAGACUCGGUCAACCCAGUAAACAGAGUCCUUGUUUACAUAUCAUCCCAAGUUUCAGCUCUGGUUUCUGAUAAGCUGCUGUUGGUUUUAUAACAGUCUCCUUACACAGGUGCAAGGAAAAAACAAGAAAAUGAAGAUUGAAGAAUGGGUUUGGUUCCUUUCAAGUGUCUUGAUUGUUUUGAUCAUCACAGACGUUGCUGUAGCAGAGCCUCUAAAAGGGAACGCAAGCUAUGGAGAUUUAUCGAUGGAAUAUUCAGAUGAUGUCUGUCCAAGUCCUUUAAUUAAUCCUUCCACGUCUGUGGCAUAUAUAACUUAUGGAAGUUUACAAAAGCCACCAUUUUGCAGUCAAGCUAAAUAUGGCAAUUGCCUCGGACCUCCCACUAAGAAAAUUCGACCUUGUAGUACUUACGAUCGAUGCAGAAGAUUUGGCAGUGGGAAUUAACAAGAGGCUUAUGGCCUGCAGGUUUGAAUAAUUUCCCAUUGUAAUUACGAAUAUGGCAAUGAAAUUUCCGCAAAUUAUCGUGUUUGAUUAUUGUUAAGAAGAGAAGAACAUUUCCCGCUUAUGCUUGCUCAGUUUUUUUAUCCUAUUUCAUUUGAAUUCAUGACCUCACAGCGAUGGAGACACUUGAGAAUAAUUGAAGCUUAGUUUUUACUCGACUUUUUUAUUCUUCUGUGGCAUUUCCAUUAUUAUCUGUUUGGUUUUCUGGUUUCUAUUGAUAGCAAAUUCUUGAAGGUUUCAUAAAUUCUCCGGCUAUCGUGCAGAGCAGAUACUCGUAAAGAAACCAGUUCAUUCUCUAAUUAAAAUUUCUGAUUUUAUACACCUUAUUGAAAGGAUCUUUUUUUCCCCCGAAAUUCUUAACUUGUUGUCACAAAGGAAUUUCUUAAUCGGGCAAUUAAUUGCUAAUUGUAUUGUUAAAAGCAAACUGCGUCUCCUUAAAAAUUAUCAAUUCAUAGUUGAUAAGUA
rnacentral:lncRNA from 1 species